GCAGUGCUGACAUUCAGUGUCACCCAGUCUCGAUGUGGCCCUGGGUCCCCACACACACCUUAUAACCGGCUGCAGAGUGAGGGACACUGGGGGCUUCUGACAGGAUCCGGCGAGACGAAGGCUCUUGAGGGCCCCUGAAUCGGUCCUGGGGGCCCCGGUGUCGGUCCAGAUUGGGGAAGGCUCCUGGGGGCCCCGGUCUCGGUCCUGGAAGGCUCCUGGGGGCCCCGGUCUCGGUCCUGGGGGGCUCCUGGGGGCCCCGGUCUCGGUCCUGGGGGGCUCCUGGGGGCCCCUGUCGCGGUCCUGGGGGGCUCCGGCGGCUCUCGGGGUGCCUGGCUGCGGCUCCGGGCCCUCAAAGGAGCGGGGUGCGGGCGGGGUGGGGCCCCGGGGGCAGUGGGGGGCUCCUCAUGUCGCGGGGUGCAGUGUAGCUGGGGCCCCGGGCGGCCCGGGGGUGUGUGAGGCGGAGCUGGCUGUCUGUCCCGCCCCCCGGGGCCUCAAUCACAGCCC